GAUGAACGCUGGCGGCGUGCUUAACACAUGCAAGUCGAACGGGGUUCUUCGGAACCUAGUGGCGACCGGGUGAGUAACACGUAGACGACCGACCGUGAAGUGGGGGACAACAGCCCGAAAGGGUUGCUAAUACCGCAUAAUGCCCACGAUUCAGUUCGUGGUAGAAAGCAGCAAUGCGCUUUAUGGAGGGUCUGCGGCCCAUCAGGUAGUUGGCGGGGUAACAGCCCACCAAGCUGAUGACGGGUAGGGGGUGUGAGAGCAUGACCCCCCACACUGG
rnacentral:rRNA from 1 species